rnacentral:rRNA from 1 species
AGGAGAGGUGUUGAUAUCCUUUGCGUCCAAGAAACCAAAUGGAGAGGACAGAAGGCGAAGGAGGUGGAGGAUACCGGCUUCAAGCUGUGGUACAUAGGGACGGCUGCAAACAGAAAUGGCUUAGGCAUCUUGAUCAACAAGAGCCUCAAGUAUGGAGUGGUAGACGUCAAGAGACGUGGGGACCGGAUUAUCCUGGUCAAGCUGGUAGUUGAGGACUUGGUUCUCAAUGUUAUCAACGCGUAUGCCCCGCAAGUAGGCCACAAUGAGAACACCAAGAGGGAGUUCUGGGAAGGCCUGGAAGACAUGGUUAGGAGUGUACCGAUUGGUGAGAAGCUCUUCAUAGGAGGAGACCUCAAUGGCCAUGUGGGUACAUCUAACACAUGUUUUGAAGGGGCGCAUGGGGGCUUUGGCUAUGGCAUCAGGAAUCAAGAAGGAGAAGAUGUCUUAAGCUUUGCUCUAGCCUACAACAUGAUUGUAGCUAACACCCUCUGUAGAAAGAGAGAAUCACAUCUGGUGACUUUUAGUAGUGGCCAACACUCUAGCCAGAUUGAUUUCAUCCUCUCGAGAAGAGAAGAUAGG